rnacentral:rRNA from 1 species
AUUGAACGCUGGCGGCAUGCUUUACACAUGCAAGUCGAACGGUAACAGGCCGCAAGGUGCUGACGAGUGGCGAACGGGUGAGUAAUGCAUCGGAACGUGCCCAGUCGUGGGGGAUAACGCAGCGAAAGCUGCGCUAAUACCGCAUACGAUCUAUGGAUGAAAGCGGGGGACCGUAAGGCCUCGCGCGAUUGGAGCGGCCGAUGUCAGAUUAGGUAGUUGGUGGGGUAAAGGCUCACCAAGCCAACGAUCUGUAGCUGGUCUGAGAGGACGACCAGCCAAACUGGGACUGAGACACGGCCCAGACUCCUACGGGAGGCAGCAGUGGGGAAUUUUGGACAAGGGGCGCAAGCCUGAUCCAGCAAUGCCGCGUGCAGGAAGAAGGCCUUCGGGUUGUAAACUGCUUUUGUACGGAACGAAACGGCUCUGGUUAAUACCUGGGGCUAAUGACGGUACCGUAAGAAUAAGCACCGGCUAACUACGUGCCAGCAGCCGCAGUAAUAC